UCUGGCUCAGGACGAACGCGGGCGGCGUGCUUAACACAUGCAAGUCGAACGAUGAACCGCUUUCGGGCGGGGAUUAGUGGCGAACGGGUGAGUAACACGUGGGCAAUCUGCCCUGCACUCUGGGACAAGCCCUGGAAACGGGGUCUAAUACCGGAUAUGACUGUCUUCCGCAUGGUGGAUGGUGUAAAGCUCCGGCGGUGCAGGAUGAGCCCGCGGCCUAUCAGCUUGUUGGUGAGGUAGUGGCUCACCAAGGCGACGACGGGUAGCCGGCCUGAGAGGGCGACCGGCCACACUGGGACUGAGACACGGCCCAGACUCCUACGGGAGGCAGCAGUGGGGAAUAUUGCACAAUGGGCGAAAGCCUGAUGCAGCGACGCCGCGUGAGGGAUGACGGCCUUCGGGUUGUAAACCUCUUCAGCAGGAAGAAGCAAAGGAC
rnacentral:rRNA from 1 species